GGAGGAAAAGAAACUAACAAGGAUUCCCCUAGUAGCGGCGAGCGAAGCGGGAAGAGCUCAAAUUUAUAAUCUGGCACCUUCGGUGUCCGAGUUGUAAUCUCUAGAAAUGUUUUCCGCGUUGGACCGCACACAAGUCUGUUGGAAUACAGCGGCAUAGUGGUGAGACCCCCGUAUAUGGUGCGGACGCCCAGCGCUUUGUGAUACAUUUUCGAAGAGUCGAGUUGUUUGGGAAUGCAGCUCAAAUUGGGUGGUAAAUUCCAUCUAAAGCUAAAUAUUGGCGAGAGACCGAUAGCGAACAAGUACCGUGAGGGAAAGAUGAAAAGCACUUUGGAAAGAGAGUUAACAGUACGUGAAAUUGUUGGAAGGGAAACGCUUGAAGUCAGACUUGCUUGCCGAGCAAUCGGUUUGCAGGCCAGCAUCAGUUUUCCGGGAUGGAUAAUGGUAGAGAGAAGGUAGCAGUUUCGGCUGUGUUAUAGCUCUCUGCUGGAUACAUCUUGGGGGACUGAGGAACGCAGUGUGCCUUUGGCGGGGGUUUCGACCUCUUCACACUUAGGAUGCUGGUGGAAUGGCUUUAAACGACCCGU
rnacentral:rRNA from 1 species